AUAUCCUGGGGGAAUGGGAAUGCCUGCUGUCCCUUUUAGGGUCUCCCCAGGAUUCGACCUAUCUCAACCAGGAAUCAAGGUACCUUUCACCGCCUGUCGCCCCACAUACUACUUGUUCAAAACCUGUUAAUCCUGACUACUAAUGUUCUUAUGAAGAAGAUGAUGACGAAGAUGAAGACAAAGACGAAGAUGAAGAAGAAAGAAAGAAAGAAAGAAAGAAAGAAAGAAAGAAAGAAAGAAAGAAAGAAAGAAAGGAAGGAAGGAAGAAAGAAAGGAAGGAAGAAAGAAAGGAAGGAAGGAAGAGAAAAGAAAUGAAAAGAAAAGAAAAAUCAUCAGGGACAUUUGAACAUGUCAAAACCUUGUGACACUCCCUCUCCUUCCUGCUUGAGGCUCAAGAUGUGAAUUCUCAGCUAUUCCAGGUGCCAUGCCUUCACUCCACCAUCAUGAACUCUAAUCCCAAAUAAACACUUUCUUCUAUAUAUUGGUCAUAGUGCUUUAUCAUAGGAAUAGAAAAGUAACUAAUACACUAUCUUUGCUGCAAUAAUUAAUAAUAUCAAUAAAUCCAUGGUGUUUAUGGACUGCCCACUUGCUGACUGGCAUCAUCCUUAGCGCAUGAUCAUGAUCAAUUUCUUUAGUAGACAAAUGAAUGGGCUUAUAUCUACAGAACUAGGGUGCUUGGAGUGCUCAAAGGAUGUUCUCCUUAAGAUUUCUGGCAAGCGUCCUGUAAGCUUCACCUCAGUCACUAUUUCCUUUUGGCUUAUGAGACACUUUCUGACCUUUUGAGUAACAUGGUGAGCUCUCCCCUGUUAGGGAACCACUGUACUAUCAGUAGCUAGAGUUAGAAAGUUCUAGAAGGGUAGAAACUAUAUCUUAUUCAACUUCAUAUUCCAUUACCCAUACCACUAGUCUACAGUAAGGAAAAAAAGUAAAAAGGAAAGGGGGUUGUGGUGCUUUGAAUACAAAUGUCCCCUCCGGCCACAGGCCCAUAGGGAAUAGCACAAUGAGGAAGUAUGGUCUUAUUGGAAUGAGUGUGGCCUUUUGGAGUGGGUGUGGCCUUGUUGGAAGAAGUGUGCCACUGGGAUAGAGUGGGCUUUGAGAUUUCAGAUGCUCAAGCCAGGCCUGGUGGCUCACCAUCUCUUCCUAUUGCUUAAGGAUUCAGAUGUAGAACUCUCAGCCCCUCUCCAGCACCAUGUCUGCCUACAUUCUACCAUGUUUUCCACCAUGAUGACAAUGGACCAAACCUCUGAAACUGUAAGCCAGCCCCAGUGAAAUGUUUUCCUUUAUAAGGGUUGCCAUGGUCAUGAUGUCUCUUCACAGCAAUAAAACCUUACUAUGACAGGGACAAAAGGAAGGAAGAAGAUAACAGGGAGGAAGCAAGGAAGGACAGAAGAGGGAGGGAAGGAGGGAAGGAGGGAGGGAGGAAGGGAGGCAAGGAAGCUGUUACUACUUAAUAAGUCAAUGCUAGUAUUAACUUUCCUCAUUCUUGGUCCCUGUUCCCAGCUCUCGUUGCCCCACCAGGUAAGAAACGGGAAGAUGAAUUUGAGUUUAGAUUCAAAAUGGUUGUUACCACAUGACCACAAAAUGACCAUUUUGAGGUGUUAGAGGAGACAGGUACCCUCCUCUUAACAUGAAAUCCUCUUUCAUUCCAUUAAAAAGCAAACAGGCCUGAACCUGGAGCUAAAUGCAACCCUGAUGAAGUUGGAAGAUGAGAGCCGAAGGGUACUAGCACCCUGGCCCUCUACCCUGUAGAAGGAAAGAGAGAGCAGGUGGUAAUCCCUGAGGGAUGAAUGGGCCAGGUAGAGCUCUCUUGGAGCAGACACUUCUGCAACCCCAGUCUUCUAAGCUGUUAUUGAAGCCUUCAUCUCCACUCCUAAGGUCUUGCUUGGCAUCUAAGUUCUAUAACUGCAACUGUGCCUGGAGAGACAGAUGAACAUCAGGGAAAAUGAAGUGAGAGACUAAAUGGAGUGAGAGCAGAGGACCUAUAUUCAUUCACCCGUUCAUUCUUUAAAAUGUCCUUUCAAAGAAAAAUCUCCAUAUGUUAUUUUUAGGUUUUUUUCCCUAAGAACAAAUAUCUUGAAUUAAAAUAUUUUCUUCUUUACCUUCAUAACUUCAUUUUAAUGCUGACUAUGUCCUGAACAGUUCUAGACUUAGGGAAUAGGUGUGAUGGUUUGAAUAUGCUUGGCCCAGGAGAUGUGACCUUAUUGGAGAAAGUGUGUCACCAUGGGGGUGGGAAAUGAGCCUCUCCUCCUAACCAUGUGGGAGCCAGUCUUCUUCUAGCAGCCUUCAGAUGAAGAUGUAGAACUCUCAGCUCCUCCUGCACCAUGCCUGCCUGGAUGCUGCCAUGCUCCUGCCUUGAUGAUAAUGGACUGAACCUCUGAACCUGUGCUCCCUGCUACGGCAUGAGCAGCAAGAUGGCGCUCACAAUGCCAAGAAGUGCUUAACUGUCUUCAUCCUGGUUUACCAACGCUCUCUGUUUCCCGCAUACUUUCCCCCAAGUCUCUUCAUGUUAGAACAAGAUUUUCUUUCAAAAGGGACCCAGCACAUCAAAUGCUAAGAACUAUUUUUCCAUCCUGUUUAGUUUUAGAACCUGAGGAAAGAGCCCCCCACCAACUUAUAUGGCUACAAAUUUUUUUUCAUUCCCUGUUUGCCCAAACAAAAUAAAGCUAUUUAUUUUAUGCAUAAGGA